rnacentral:lncRNA from 1 species
UAUUUAAUGUUUCACAUGAGUGAUUUUUCUUUUUCCUUUUUUACAUAUCAGUAAUUUAACGAACUGUUUAAAAGCCGAGAUCGCUAGCAGAAGUUAACUUUUACAGUAGAAUUAUAUCUGCAACUGAUUUUCUGCAACUUUUUCUAAACGUUUUCUUAUGCUCUGUUUCAACAGGUUCUUGUGAAGAUGCAGUGGAAAUACUCAAAAGCCAACUGAUAUUAGGUCACUGGUGCUCAGAGGGCUCCCGAUUCUCCUUGGUGACAACCCCACAGAUUUCUUCAAAGCAUGCUUUGUAAGUAACUUAUUUUCUCAAAGGUUAUCUUAAAGGACCAUGAAAACAUAAUCAUUUUAUUAAUAGAUAGUCCUUGUAUUUGAUAAAACGUUUACACAUUGC